rnacentral:ncRNA from 1 species
AAAAAGGCAAUGAACAAGAGUAGUACGAUCCGGUAACGGUACAGAGAGCUGCGGGGAGGUGCGACGCAGUCCGUAAGGGAUCGGAACUCGCUUGGGAGCCGGGAGCCGAAUGUUACGAAUGCCGCAUGAGCGGCCGUGACUCAAGCUUACAAACGGUUGGCCUCCGUUAACGGGCGCGCAGCGAAUGUUAGGCUUCAAUCCCUUUUGCAUUCGCUGCCGUAAGCGGACUUUCCCGUGGGGAAGGUCAACAAGAGUGGUACCGCGCCGGCACAGCCGUCGUCUCUUUC